rnacentral:rRNA from 1 species
UACAGAGGUCCCAAGCGUUGUUCGGAUUCAUUGGGCGUAAAGGGUGCGUAGGCGGGUAGGUAAGUCAGUGGUGAAAUCUUCGAGCUUAACUCGGAAAUUGCCGUUGAUACUAUUUAUCUUGAAUAUCGUUGAGGUUUGCGGAAUAUGUCAUGUAGCGGUGAAAAUGCUUAGAGAUGACAUAGAACACCUAUUGCGAAGGCAGCAGGCUAAACGAACAUUGACGCUGAGGCACGAAAGCGUGGGGAUCAAACAGG